CAGUCGCCGCGGUAAUACGUAGGGUGCGAGCGUUAAUCGGAAUUACUGGGCGUAAAGCGUGCGCAGGCGGUUCGUUAAGACAGAUGUGAAAUCCCCGGGCUUAACCUGGGAACUGCAUUUGUGACUGGCGAGCUAGAGUAUGGCAGAGGGGGGUAGAAUUCCACGUGUAGCAGUGAAAUGCGUAGAGAUGUGGAGGAAUACCGAUGGCGAAGGCAGCCCCCUGGGCCAAUACUGACGCUCAUGCACGAAAGCGUGGGGAGCAAACAGGAUUAGAUACCCCUGUAGUCCCUGUCUCUUAUAC
rnacentral:rRNA from 1 species